rnacentral:rRNA from 1 species
AUUGAACGCUGGCGGCAGGCCUAACACAUGCAAGUCGAACGAGUGGCGGACGGGUGUAUAAUGUCUGGGAAACUGCCUGAUGGAGGGGGAUAACUUCUGGAAACGGUAGAUAAUCCCGCAUACCAUCGGAUGUCCCCAGAGGGGAUUCGCUAGUAGGAGGGGUAAAGGCUCACCUAGGCGACUAUCCCUAGCUGGUCUGAGAGGAUGACCAGCCACACUGGAACUGAGACACGGUCCAGACUCCUACGGGAGGCAGCAGUGGGGAAUAUUGCACAAUGGGCGCAAGCCUGAUGCAGCCAUGCCGCGUGUAUGAAGAAGGCCUUAGGGUUGUAAAGUACUUUCAGCGGGGAGGCGUUACCCGCAGAAGAAGCACCGGCUAACUCCGUGCCAGCAGCCGCGGUAAUAC